rnacentral:tRNA from 1 species
AUCUUCGUGGUGUAAUUGAAAAGCACAUCCGAUUAGAAAUUGGAAGGCCCAGCGUUCGAAUCCCAGCUAAGACA